UUAGUGGAGCAUUACUAAUUAGCUACGUGCCUUUUACUCCUACAGCCACCUUCCUCUUCCCUGCAAUUGAACAGCGAACUCAUCCCUUUCACUACCAACCCUAACAAAUAUUAGCCCAAUAUAUUUUUGGGUCUAUCACUGGGUGGAUGCAAAGCAAGAAAACUAAAAAAAGUCACCAAUCAAAGUUCGAUUUUCAAUGAAAAUGAUGAUCCGAAAGCAGAAAAUUUCAACACCGAGAACGAAACUUUUCAGGUCCCAAGAAGAUAAGUCUUUGAAGAUGAAUGACUACAUUGUUGAUGAUCAUGGAAUUUAUGUUGAUUCUGACUGCUUGAAGAAAGUGAAGUUUUGGACUAAAAUAACACACGUUCUCUCAUGAUGUCUUUUUACAUCUUUACACCUCUUAGAUCAGAUUUCGCUCCAAAUUUAUCUUACAAUGGGUUUGGAAUUUCUUCUUCUUUAGCUGUGCCUCAUGCGGUCAGAAUUACAUCAUAGGGAAUGAUAGUUGCUUUUGAGAAAGGUAAAUCAGUGAGCUUGAAAGAGAAGCAGUUCUUGAAUUACAUUGUUGCUAAUGAGCGAAAUAGAUGUUGACAAGUACCCAUUAGAGUUUGUCAGCUACCUUUGUCACUCUUGCCAUAAAGACAAACAUCAAAUACACCUGCACAGAAGCCAUGAAACUGGAGAUAUAUAUUAAGCACCAUAUAUGUUGCUAGCUUAAUAGCUUGAUUUGCUUAAAUUAUCUACAUACCAAGUUGUACUUAAUUUGUAAACAAAGUGGGUAAUGCUGCAAAACUUUUGGCUGUACAGAUACGGUUUGUGAUAACUCACUCC